GCUCGUAGGUGGUUUGUCGCGUUGUUCGUGAAAACUCACAGCUCAACUGUGGGCGUGCGGGCGAUACGGGCAGACUGGAGUACUGCAGGGGAGACUGGAAUUCCUGGUGUAGCGGUGGAAUGCGCAGAUAUCAGGAGGAACACCGGUGGCGAAGGCGGGUCUCUGGGCAGUAACUGACGCUGAGGAGCGAAAGCGUGGGGAGCGAACAGGAUUAGAUACCCUGGUAGUCCACGCCGUAAACGGUGGGUACUAGGUGUGGGUUUCCUUCCUUGGGAUCCGUGCCGUAGCUAACGCAUUAAGUACCCCGCCUGGGGAGUACGGCCGCAAGGCUAAAACUCAAAGAAAUUGACGGGGGCCCGCACAAGCGGCGGAGCAUGUGGAUUAAUUCGAUGCAACGCGAAGAACCUUACCUGGGUUUGACAUGCACAGGAUGUGCCUAGAGAUAGGUAUUCCCUUGUGGCCUGUGUGCAGGUGGUGCAUGGCUGUCGUCAGCUCGUGUCGUGAGAUGUUGGGUUAAGUCCCGCAACGAGCGCAACCCUUGUCUCAUGUU
rnacentral:rRNA from 1 species